rnacentral:rRNA from 1 species
UACGGAGGGUGCAAGCGUUAUCCGGAUUUACUGGGUUUAAAGGGUGCGUAGGCGGGCAGGUAAGUCAGAGGUGAAAUCUCCGAGCUUAGCUCGGAAACUGCCUUUGAUACUAUCUGUCUUGAAUAUUGUGGAGGUAAGCGGAAUAUGUCAUGUAGCGGUGAAAUGCUUAGAUAUGACAUAGAACACCUAUUGCGAAGGCAGCUUACUACGCAUAUAUUGACGCUGAGGCACGAAAGCGUGGGGAUCAAACAGG